rnacentral:pre_miRNA from 1 species
GGGAAUCAGAGCUGUCUUCGCAUGCCACAGCGAGUGUGAACACAGCUGGUGAUAUCUCU